ensembl:lncRNA FCGR1BP Fc gamma receptor Ib, pseudogene
AGAUUUCACUACUCCCACCAGCUUGGAGACAACAUGUGGUUCUUGACAACUCUGCUCCUUUGGGGCUGGCUACUACUGCAGGUCUCCAGCAGAGUCUUCAUGGAAGGAGAACCUCUGGCCUUGAGGUGUCAUGCGUGGAAGGAUAAGCUGGUGUACAAUGUGCUUUACUAUCGAAAUGGCAAAGCCUUUAAGUUUUUCCACUGGAAUUCUAACCUCACCAUUCUGAAAACCAACAUAAGUCACAAUGGCACCUACCAUUGCUCAGGCAUGGGAAAGCAUCGCUACACAUCAGCAGGAAUAUCACAAUACACUGUGAAAGAGCUAUUUCCAGCUCCAGUGCUGAAUGCAUCUGUGACAUCCCCACUCCUGGAGGGGAAUCUGGUCACCCUGAGCUGUGAAACAAAGUUGCUCUUGCAGAGGCCUGGUUUGUAGCUUUACUUCUCCUUCUACAUGGGCAGCAAGACCCUGCGAGGCAGGAACACAUCCUCUGAAUACCAAAUACUAACUGCUAGAAGAGAAGACUCUGGGUUAUACUGGUGCGAGGCUGCCACAGAGGAUGGAAAUGUCCUUAAGCACAGCCCUGAGUUGGAGCUUCAAGUGCUUGGUGAGAAUGACGGGAAGCCACUGGCACAGAAGAAGGGACUCCCUUAUCUCCCAUGGGACUGAGGCCUCCAGUUACCAACUCCUGUCUGGUUUCAUGUCCUUUUCUAUCUGGCAGUGGGAAUAAUGUUUUUAGUGAACACUGUUCUCUGGGUGACAAUACGUAAAGAACUGAAAA